rnacentral:rRNA from 1 species
UUAUCGAAAACGAUCCGCGUUGGGCAGCUUCGCGCGCUAGUAGUCGGAGCGUCGCCCAUGCGGUGUAUUCGGCGAGCUAUGGUCCUAACACGACCAUACCUUGCUAAGUCUUUGCUAUGCCAUUUGCUCGCAGUCAUUUGCUCAAUGCGAGGCGAUGAUGGCCGUCAAGUGUUGCUCUCAGAUGCGGCUCCGAGCACGUGUUGUUGCUCUGUUGGUGGUGUGGUGGUGAUAUGGUUUGUUUGGAUGCAUGCAUCGACCGCUAGUGAUGAGAGUGAUGCGAGGUGGCUAUCGCUUUGU